rnacentral:rRNA from 1 species
GUAGGUGGCAAGCGUUGUCCGGAAUUAUUGGGCGUAAAGCGCGCGCAGGUGGUUCUUUAAGUCUGAUGUGAAAGCCCCCGGCUCAACCGGGGAGGGUCAUUGGAAACUGGGGAACUUGAGUGCAGGAGAGGAAAGUGGAAUUCCACGUGUAGCGGUGAAAUGCGUAGAUAUGUGGAGGAACACCAGUGGCGAAGGCGACUUUCUGGCCUGUAACUGACACUGAGGCGCGAAAGCGUGGGGAGCAAACAGGAUUAGAUGCCCUGGUAGUCCACGCCGUAAACGAUGAGUGCUAAGUGUUGGGGGGGUUUCCGCCCCUCAGUGCUGCAGCUAACGCAUUAAGCACUCCGCCUGGGGAUACGGUCGCAAGACUG